UACGGGGGGGGCAAGCGUUGUUCGGAAUUACUGGGCGUAAAGGGCUCGUAGGCGGCCAACUAAGUCAUACGUGAAAUCCCUCGGCUUAACCGGGGAACUGCGUCUGAUACUGGAUGGCUUGAGUUCGGGAGAGGGAUGCGGAAUUCCAGGUGUAGCGGUGAAAUGCGUAGAUAUCUGGAGGAACACCGGUGGCGAAGGCGGCAUCCUGGACCGAUACUGACGCUGAGGGGCGAAAGCCAGGGGAGCAAACGGG
rnacentral:rRNA from 1 species